UUUCCUUUUUCAUACCUCUUGUUUUCUUUUCUUUACAGUUUGUUUUCAUUUCCUUUCCAAUUUAAAAGAGUGUACUUAAUGUUCCAUCUUAGACAACAUGAUAGUCAUGAAGAUUUUGCGUGAGAAAGGCUAGAGAGUAUAGUGGGAAAAUCUCAGCUCCCCUUUGAACUCCUGGGCUCAAGUGAUCCUCCCACCAUAAUCUUCCAGGUAGCUGGGACCACAGUAUGCUGAGGUGGCCAAGAGCACAGGUUCAAAUCAAGACCAUGAAUUGAGCCAAGUGCAGUGGAAUGUCAACCUCAUUACAAGUCUGUUUGUAACAUCUUAUUUCAUGGCCAUGUGGCAAAUAAGUUCUUCC
rnacentral:lncRNA from 10 species